rnacentral:rRNA from 1 species
GACGAACGCUGGCGGCGCGCCUAACACAUGCAAGUCGAACGAGCGAGAGAGAGCUUGCUUUCUCGAGCGAGUGGCGAACGGGUGAGUAACGCGUGAGGAACCUGCCUCAAAGAGGGGGACAACAGUUGGAAACGACUGCUAAUACCGCAUAAGCCCACGGUGCCGCAUGGCACCGAGGGAAAAGGAGCAAUCCGCUUUGAGAUGGCCUCGCGUCCGAUUAGCUAGUUGGGGAGGUAAUGGCCCACCAAGGCGACGAUCGGUAGCCGGACUGAGAGGUUGAACGGCCACAUUGGGACUGAGACACGGCACAGACUCCUACGGGAGGCAGCAGUGGGGAAUAUUGCACAAUGGGGGAAACCCUGAUGCAGCGACGCCGCGUGGAGGAAGAAGGUCUUCGGAUUGUAAACUCCUGUUGUUGGGGAAGAUAAUGACGGUACCCAACAAGGAAGUGACGGCUAACUACGUG